rnacentral:rRNA from 1 species
UACAGAGGGUGCAAGCGUUAAUCGGAAUUACUGGGCGUAAAGCGUGCGUAGUCGGCUUUUUAAGUCGGGUGUGAAAUCCCCGGGCUCAACCUGGGAAUUGCAUUCGAUACUGGAUCGCUAGAGUUCGGCAGAGGGAAGCGGAAUUCUCGGUGUAGAGGUGAAAUUCGUAGAUAUCGAGAGGAACACCGGUGGCGAAGGCGGCUUCCUGGACAGUUACUGACGCUGAGGCACGAAAGCGUGGGGAGCAAACAGG